CCUACGGGGGGCUGCAGUGAGGAAUAUUGUUCAAUGGACGAGAGUCUGAACCAGCCAAGUAGCGUGAAGGAUGACUGCCCUCUGGGUUGUAAACUUCUUUUAUAUGGGAAUAAAUUGGUCCAAGUGUGGGAUUUUGUAUGUACCAUAUGAUUAAGGAUCGGCUAACUCCGUGCCAGCAGCCGCGGUAAUACGGAGGGUCCGCGAGUUAUCCGGAUUUAUUGGGUUUAAAGGGAGCGUAGGGGGAUUGUUAAGUCAGUUGUGAAAGUUUGCGGCUCAAACGUAGAAUUGCAGUUGAAACUGGCAGUCUUGAGUACGGUAGAGGUGGGCGGAAUGCGUGGUGUAGCGGUGAAAUGCUUAGAUAUCACGAAGAACUCCGAUUGCGAAGGCAGCUCACUGGACUGCAACUGACACUGAGGCUCGAAAGUGUGGGUAGCAAACAGGAUUAGAUACCCCUGUAGUC
rnacentral:rRNA from 1 species